GGUGCCGCUCCUGCCUGGGCGAGAAGAACUGCCAAGUCAGUUCCGGCAGAGAGCGCAGCGAGCUCGGUGGUGCGGCCUUCUUCCACCCGGGCCCCCCACGGCCCCGGCUUGUGCCGGGUGAGCCGGGGGGCCCGGGGACAGCCUCGGUCCCUGUCCUGCGGACGCUAGGAGCCCUCGCCCUCGCGCAGCCACCGGCCGGGCCACGCGGCCAUUCUACAGCGACUCUCCGUGCCAACGAGGCGUCUGGAUGGCGGCGGCCUCUGUGCGCGGCCUCCACGACUCCACCCGCCCCUUGCUCUCCAGGGUCCGACUCACAGAGAAGCCCUAGCUAGGCCUUCGUGGACAUCUCCGGGUGGCGGCGAGCGUGGCAUGGCGGAAAGAAUGGCGGCCACUUGAAGGCCAAGGCUGGGCCUUCGGGGCAUCUGCGGCCUGAGGCGGCGGGUCUGCGCAAGAACAUCGGCCAUCGCCGGGAGGGGCCGCCCAUGGACGAGCACUCAGACCUGGAUGAACAGAGGCCUCAGUGGGCCUGGACGAAGGUGAGCGGGGCCCCGAAUCGCGGCGAGAGGAACGAUCGAUUGCUGGGUCGCGAGUCUUCCUUCCACCCAAGAGAAGCCGAGACGCGACAACCGCUUGCGGCCAGUCGGCAACGCUGGCGAAGACUUAACCUGCCGCCGUAGAAGGCCUGUGUAUAUAAUAUGAAAAAGCUGCUCUCAACCUUUCCCCCGACCCUUUUUAGACUUUUGGCUAAAUCUGGACAUCUAGCUGUAAGAGAUUGCCGAAGCAGGGCAAAGUAGAGGUAGGGGAUCACUUGUGUACCCAGUCGCCAUAAAAAGAAGAUCGUAGACACGUCUUCUACAAGUGACUUUGAGAUGGAAUUGUUUAGGUCGCCUCUAGAAAGAUCCAGGAGCGACACUCGACCCUGUUUGUUCCGUAGCUUAGAGGAUCCAGCAGGAGGAGGAAGAGGUCCGGAGCCAGAUUGGUCGUGUGAAGACGACGUCUCUCUCUCUCUCUCUCUCUCUCUCUCUCUCUCUCUCUCUCUCUCUCUCUCUCUUUUAUUCUAUUGUAUUGUGUAUGCAUUUUAUUCCUCUUUUCUUAACCCCCACCACCAAGUUUGUAUUUGUGUGCCUGUGUGUGUGUUUGAAAAUGCCAGGUUUUUUGGGGAAUGUCUUUCUAGCUGCUCUGAAGUGCCUGACAUAUUUUAUAAGUAGUAAAACAUUCUGUAAAUACCUUUUCGUUAGGAUUCAUUUGAAAUAGUGUUUGGAGAGGAAUAGCCAAACCUUUCCUGAGUUGACCACACUGUGUUUGUGCCCUGGUUCCCAGGAGAAGGAAAUGCAGAUCCCUAAGCCACGUGGUCCGUGGGUGGAAAGGAGCCAGGAGCCCAUUUUGCUUGGCUUCUCUGUGUACAUAGUGUAUGGAAAGGACAAAGGGGUCCUAAUUUACAACAUCUGAUUACUCUAGAUGUUAAAGAGGUUGCCAGUGUAUGACAAAGUAGAGUUAGUAGAACAAUUUUUUUUGCAUUUUCUGUUAAAGAAUUUUUAUUUACUUUUGUUAUAUGUGUGCCGUUUACUGGACUGCUGUGUACAUAGUGACCAACAGUCCUUACUUGAAACAUCUGGUCUAUCUAGAUGUUUAGAAGUGCCCAACGUAUGUUAAAUGUAGAGGUAGUAAAAUAUCACUUUGUAAAUAUCUUUUUUGCAAAAACUCAUGAACUGUUUGUUGUCUCUUGGGAACGGGGUGAUGAGCCCCUCUGAGCAGAAUUGUGUGUUCUUGCUCAGGGGUUUGGAGGAGGUGCUGGGAGGCAGUGACAGCGGUCAUGUAGUAAUGUAUAUGGGACCUUUCCAGACGCCAUUUCUAUAUACUUGCAUUUUGUUUUGCUGUAUGUAUACUGUAUAUAAUGGACAAAUGUCUAAAUUUUCAACAUCUAGACUUUAGAUGUUAAAGAGGUUGCCAAUGUAUGACAAAGUAGUAAAUUUAGCACAUAGUGUACACGUUAAAAUUCAUAGAAAAUGUUGUGUAAACGGCUCGGGGUUAGGAAUUUGUUCAGCUGUUUCUGAGCAUUACACAUGCCUAUAUUUGUCUACCGGUUUGAAGGGAGAUGAAAGUGGGUGGAAGCCCAAAUGAUUAUAUUUAGAAGAUACCUCAGAUAACAACCAUUGCUUUGCAUAGUUUUAUUUACCAGUGCCCUGUCAAGAGCAGUUAAGUUCUUACAUGAAACAGCUAGUCUUUUAGAUAUUUGAAAGUGCUUGAUAUGUUUAAAGGUACAAGUAGUAGAAUAAUAUUUUGUGUAUAUAGUUUUUUAAACUGGAGGAAUAUCGUGUGUAGAAAUAGAAUUGUUAACCCACCUCUGAGAACAGUGUACUGGCUGGGCUUGUUCAGUGGAGUGAGGAGGUGGGAGGGGAGAAACUGCAAAAUGAUUCCAUUAGUGUGCUAGACAUUUCUAGCUUACCCAUCACCCUGUGUGCUGUGUGCAUCUUAUAUAACAUUGCUAUACUGUAUAUACUGUACAUACUGGACAAGAGUCCUAUGACAUCUAGUCUCUAGUUAUUAAAGAGGUUGCCAAUGUAUGACAAAAGUAGUUAGUAAACUCACACAUUCUGUAUACUCGGUUAGGUCAUAGCAGGGUUGUCUUCUGAAGAGUUGUGAAGGUGUAUCAUCCAAGUGACAGGUGCCUGCGUCACCAGAAUGUUCUCACCAGAAGACACUUUGAGAUCUAACUAGUUUCGUGUGUGUGGUUUCAGCACUACUAUGUAUAUAGGGGACAAAUGUAUGUCCCCAUCUGAAACAUCUAGUCCUCCUAGGUGUUUAGAAGUGCACAAAGUAUGUUAACAGUAGACAUAGUAAUCCGUGUUGUAGACUGUCCUGUUUAGACUCUUGGUGAAGUGCUGUGUUUUGGAACUAGAAAGAGAAACCGCUUCUGAGCAAUGCAGCCUUGCUUGCGAGGGUCUGGGAGGGAGAAAGAAAGAAAACGAAGGGCCUAAUGCGAAUGCAAGUUUGGUAAUGCAAGGUUAUCCGUUGUUCCUUGUAUGUGCAUCUUACUUUGCAGUGUAUAGGAAACAUAUGUACAAGUUUGCAGCACCCAGUCUUCCUAGACAGUAAAGAGGUACCAGUGCAUGACAAAGUACAGUUGGUGAAAAUUAUGUUAAAAUUUGUAGGGAAAAAAAUCUUAAAACCACUUAGGAAGUGAAAUUGUUAGUAUCCCACAAAAACAUGACAGAUGCAUACACAGGACCCCUGGGUGGAGAGAACUGGAAGAAGGGCUAGAGCAGAACCUUGCUGUUUAGAAGGCGGUUUCUAACCACAGCCUUCGUUAGGUGUGCAGUGGACUCACCGCAGUGGACUUGCUGGGGAAACCCAAAUGCUUAUUCGCAACAUCUGGUGCAUACUAGACUUUUAAGUGCAUACUAGACUUGAUGCGGUAAUGCAUGCCUUUAGGCUGAGGCAGGUGGAUCUCUGUGUUCUGGGUCAGCCAGAGCUAUAUAGACUUUUUCUCAAAACAGGAACUGCCGAAUGGACAGGUAGGGUGGCUCAGCAUGUAAAGGUCUUGCCACCAAGCUGGUGACCUGAGUUUGAUUUCCAGGAUCCACUUGGUAGGAGAAAGGUAAUUCACAGCUUGUCUUUAAGCGUCCACACAAGUGCAGUGGCAUGUGUGUGCACACAUGCAUACACUAAUGCAUAAAUAUAAAAAUGUACACCAUGGUAAAAAUAGAGGGCUGACACCACUUUUUAAGGAUUUUGUUCUUUCAUAGGAAUGGUCACACUGGGAAAAUGGAGGUUAAAUUUGGCCUUUGAGCAGAUACUGUUACCAGGUGAUGGAGGUGGGCGAGGGCAAAGAUUAGUGCUCAGAAAAGACACUGUAGCUGUUGGUUGGUUCAGGUUGUCUAGCCAUUGGUUAGGUGUGCAUUUCAGUUAAUGUCACCAAGUAGUAAGUCCCAGUGCCUAAAGGAUGUUAAAAGUAGCAAAAGGCUAGGCUAGUCUUUGGGGAGGGCUGUCUUCUGGGCGUGGCCUUUGAUAAUCCUCUCACUUGCAUCAUCUGCAUUUAGGACUUGUGCAGGGAAGAGGAUGGAUGAGAGAAAGAUCGUUAGUACCACUACAUCCAGAGGACAGCUGUACCCAGGGGCCCUAUGUGCAUCUUGGUAAAAUACUCGUGUUCCCUAUGCACAGUUGUCAUCUGUUAACAUCCUAAAGGAGAACAUGGUUAAAAGAGUGAGUGGAUAUGGUAGGAUCGACAAAAGGGUUCCUCUUGGACAUGGAACUGUUAAAUCAUGUCUGGACAGUAUGAGAAAUUCAUGUUGCUAGGCUGACUGGAGGGGCAGAGAGGUUCACAGGGUAUUGAGACUGACAUCCUGAGAGCCCCUGCCAGAGGUGCAUCUCCCAGCUGCUCCUGGGAAUACAGUUGUUGAGUGGGAACACCCCUUCUUAUACAUAUGCUAGUGUGUAGAUGUGAUGAUAAGCUUAGGAAUGCUAUACUUCCUGUGGUCUGUUGCUUUGUGUUUCCUUGUGAGCUGAGACUGAGUGAAUGCAGAAUCUAAUUGUAACGUUGCCAGUACAUCUAUCUAGAGGCCUGCUGCCGUUUUUGUCUUCUAUGAAAUUUCUGUUGCCAAGAAGACAGGAUUACAAUUUUGUCUGACAGAUUGAGAUGGCAUGGUGUAUUCUUGGUUAUCAAAAUUCUUGUGUAGUUUUUAGUCGGUGAAUAUUCACAAUGUGGGGAAAGCAUGGUACAUACCAUAUAAUCUCAAUUACCCAAGUGUAUGUACGCUUGCAGGAUCUAGAACGACACAUCAAGCCGAGCUGCUUGAGACUGAGUGACUUUGUUCUUGCCUUCUUGUGUUUUGUUUCCUGUAAUGCACAUAUUAAAAAAAAUAAACAAAAGCUUCUUUAAAAA